UAGAAUAGUAAUGGCGUCUGUGUGUGACGUCACGCUUUCGUAAACACUUGACACUUGGCAUGUUAAUCAGUUUAUUUUUCUAUAUUAUUUAAUUAUUUUGAGCUAUAAUGAUGAAUUCUAACGUGUAUCGAUGGUGUGCGGUUCCUCAAUGUAAUAAUACAUCGAUAAAGACUCCGAAUAAGUUGUUCAUUAAUGUUCCAAUAACUAAAAAAGUGAGAAAUACAUGGCUAAAUCUUGCAAGGCGAGACCCAGUUAUUAUAUCGCCAAAUUCAGUACUUUAUUUCUGUGAAGACCAUUUUGAUUUACCAAAUGAUAUGGAAAAUUAUAUGGAAUAUCAUGUGAUGGGUUCAGUUUCACAAGUCCGUAUGAGGUCAGGGUGUACUCCCACAAGAUUUGAAUGCCAACCAGACAGAAGAAAACGAACUUCAACAGAGCGUCCUUAUGUUCUUAAAAAGCAACGGAAAAUAUUAAUUGAAGAUAGUGUAAAAGGUUUAGCUGAGGAAAGUACACCGACAAUUUGUUUAGAAGUCGCUGGCAGUUCAUCUGAUCAUUCAGUUUUGCACACAAUCGAAGAGCAUCAAGAAGAGCCUAAAACCCGGCCGAAAUUGGUUGAUAAAUCAGUACAAGUAUACAUUGGAAAAAAAUUUAGAAGCAAAGCAGUCCAGACAGAAAUGAAAUUAGUAAACCAGUUGACAUCACCAAUGAAACCCGAUUGCUGUUCUAUCUCUACUUCUCCAUUUAAAAUUGAUAGUUGUGGCACUACUAAAGCAAGCACAAGACCUAUUUAAAACUUCAAAGAGAUUGUUUAUUGUAAAAGAUCAAUUGGACAGUGAUGUUUCAUAUACACCAUCUGUAACUGAAUCAUUAUCACCAUCAAUACAAUCUCUUCAAGUGAAAUCCACUUCAGACUGCAGUGAAUUAGUUGAAGAGACAAAGGCAGACGAAGUAUCUGAUAUUCUAAAAUAUACAUUACUUAAAAUAAUGAGAAACCCACGUUCAUACAUAGGUCUACCUAAAAGCUGUUCUUAUUUUAUUGAUUUAAUUGAAGAACAGACAAAAAUCCCCACUAACCAUAGUUUGCUAUGUUUAGAGAAAAUUAGAUUAAAUAGUCCCUUUAAACAACUUGCUGAUGAUCUUUCUAUGAACACUACAUACGCAAGUAAAAUAUUUUUUAAAAAUAUACCAAUACUAGCCAGUGUAAUGGGACCAUUUAUUGUGCCGCUUAAUAAAGAUUUAAUAAAACAGACUUUGCCCAUGGCUUUUAGACACAAAUUUCACCAUACAAGUUGCAUAAUAGACUGUUUAGAAAUCGAAAUACAAAGGCCUUCAAAAAGUGUUAACCAAGCUCUAUCAUGGUCCGAUUACAAAAAAGGCGAAUACCAUCAAAUAUCUAGUGUCUUGUACACCAAAUGGUUUGGUGAAUUAUAUUUCACCAGGCUAUGGAGGAAGAGUAACUGAUACAAGCUUGGUUGAAUCAUGUGAUUUUAUCAGGUAUCUACAGCCUGGUAUGUGUGUGAUGGCAAUAUGUUAAAACCCCAUGCAUGUGUAAAUUUACAUCUUGUUAAAGCACUUGAUGAAGUUAUUGUGAUUGCAUGUGCUCUUAUAAAUUUACAAGACUCUCUUAUUAAAUAAAUCUAUAAAAUUAUAA